UACGGAGGGUGCAAGCGUUGUCCGGAUUUAUUGGGUUUAAAGGGUGCGUAGGCGGCCCUGUAAGUCAGUGGUGAAAUACUGCAGCUUAACUGUAGCAUUGCCAUUGAUACUGUAGGGCUUGAGUACAGAUGAGGUAGGCGGAAUUGAUGGUGUAGCGGUGAAAAUGCAUAGAUACCAUCAAGAACACCGAUUGCGAAAGGCAGCUUACUAAGCUGUAACUGACGCUGAGGCACGAAAAGCGUGGGGGAUCGAAACAGG
rnacentral:rRNA from 1 species